CCUUUCGCUGCACCCAAAGCAAUAGAUAGCCUUCGCCACAUGUCUAGCUUUCCAAUAGGUAAGCCUUCGCUGUCUUUAAACACGUGCACUUCAGAGAGAGAGAGAGAGAGAGAGAGAGAGAGAGAGAGAGAGAGAGAGAGAGAGAGAGAGAGAGG